CCGAGUUCUACAACUCACAACCCCUUGUGAACAUACCUAUACGUUGCUUCGGCGGAUCAGCUCCGGCCCGUAAAGGACGGCCGCCGAGGACCCUAAACUCUUGUUUUCCUAGUGGACUACUCUGAGUAAAUCUUAAAAUAAAUCA
rnacentral:misc_RNA from 1 species